rnacentral:rRNA from 1 species
GAUGAACGCUGGCGGCGUGCCUAAUACAUGCAAGUCGAGCGAACGGACGAGAAGCUUGCUUCUCUGAUGUUAGCGGCGGACGGGUGAGUAACACGUGGAUAACCUACCUAUAAGACUGGGAUAACUUCGGGAAACCGGAGCUAAUACCGGAUAAUAUUUUGAACCGCAUGGUUCAAAAGUUAAAGACGGUCUUGCUGUCACUUAUAGAUGGAUCCGCGCUGCAUUAGCUAGUUGGUAAGGUAACGGCUUACCAAGGCAACGAUGCAUAGCCGACCUGAGAGGGUGAUCGGACACACUGGAACUGAGACACGGUCCAGACUCCUACGGGAGGCAGCAGUAGGGAAUAUUCCGCAAUGGGCGAAAGCCUGACGGAGCAACGCCGCGUGAGUGAUGAAGGUCUUCGGAUCGUAAAACUCUGUUAUUAGGGAAGAACAUAUGUGUAAGUAACUGUGCACAUCUUGACGGUACCUAAUCAGAAAGCCACGGCUAACUACGUG